UACGUAGGGUCCGAGCGUUGUCCGGAAUUACUGGGCGUAAAGAGCUCGUAGGUGGUUUGUCGCGUUGUUCGUGAAAACUCACAGCUCAACUGUGGGCGUGCGGGCGAUACGGGCAGACUUGAGCACUGCAGGGGAGACUGGAAUUCCUGGUGUAGCGGGUGGAAUGCGCAGAUAUCAGGAGGAACACCGGUGGCGAAGGCGGGUCUCUGGGCAGUAACUGACGCUGAGGAGCGAAAGCGUGGGGAGCGAACAGG
rnacentral:rRNA from 1 species